rnacentral:sRNA from 1 species
AGAAUGGGUACAGCACAGACAACAGCAGUGCCAGUUCCCACACACUGCUCCAUGCCAAAUGUAUCUCACCCCU